rnacentral:lncRNA from 1 species
GACACAGAUACAUUGUGGUGCCUCCACCCUGUGAAUCCUGCUCAGCAAUCCGAGGGAUGAGCAGUUGAUUCAGGCAACACCAUGGAUGGAUCUCAGGGCAUCGUGCUGAAGUCCCGCAUUCUUAGCAAGGUGCUGCUUCCUGCAGAUGGGCAAACACUGGUCCUUGGCAGGUGGAGAGGAAGACAGCUGAGGACACAGCAUCUCACUAGCCCCUCCUCACCCACCAGGUGCCAGGCCAGGUGUCACCUAAGCCAAGCAGCACACGACCGCCCCUGCCCACUUCCACCUCAGCCCUGACCCUCCCUGCACCUGGAAGUCCACUGCCUCCUGAUGUGUCUGUGAUCGGGGCAGCCCCAAGAGCACGUAUCCCGGGACAUGAUGUGUUGUGGUCUGUGUGGGGUCAGAGCCGUCAGUGUUCACUGCCGUGUCCCCAGUGCUUAGCACUGUUUGCCGCAUGGGAGGUGCAGGUCACAACCCGGUAGUGCCUAGUGGCCCAGGGGACACCUGGCUUGUCUGGGCCUGUUGGCUGACAGAUAGGAGGGACUGCCAUCCAUUGUUGGGGCAAAGGAUGCUGCUCAACCUCCCACAACGCAUGGAGCGGCCCGGCGCACAGACUCACCUGGCCCCAAACACCAAC